GCGGUGGCAGGCGGCGGGCCCCAGCGAGGGCCGCGGGCCUUUUUUGUGAAUGAAGCGCAGGGGAUCGUCGUCCAGGGGUCCCGAGCGCCGCGACGCGUGUAGCUCGUCCGCGCGGCUCCAUCAGCCGCCGCAGCAGCAGCAGCGUCUGCGGCCGGGGGUGGUGGUGGCGUCGUGCGUGUGGCGGGGCCGGCCCGGGCCAUGGUGGCGGCACCCUGACUCGCGGCCGCCUCCAUGAAGCGGAAGGGCGAGCGGCGGCCGGGAUGGGCCGCGCCCCCCUGCUCUCUCCGCUGUUCUGCGGCCCCGCGCUCACGGAAGAGGAGCCGCCGCGCGGAGUCGCAUGAGGACCUGUACCUGGACGUCACCGAUCGCCUUUGCUUUGCCAUUCUCUACAGCAGACCAAAGAGUGCAUCAAAUGAACAUUAUUUCAGCAUAGAUAAUGAACUUGAAUAUGAGAACUUCUACGCAGAUUUUGGACCACUCAAUCUGGCAAUGGUUUACAGAUACUGUUGCAAGAUAAAUAAGAAACUAAAGUCCAUUACAAUGAUGAGGAAGAAAAUUAUUCAUUUUACUGGCUGUGAUCAAAGAAAACAAGCUAAUGCUGCUUUCCUUAUUGGAUGCUAUAUGGUUAUAUAUUUGGGGAGAACUCCAGAAGAUGCAUAUGGACUCUUAAUCUUUGGAGAUACAUCCUAUAUUCCUUUCAGAGAUGCUGCCUAUGGAAGUUGCAGCUUCUACAUUACACUUCUUGACUGUUUUCAUGCAGUAAAGAAGGCAAUGCAGUAUGGCUUCUUUAAUUUCAACACAUUUAACCUUGAUGAAUACGAACACUAUGAAAAAGCAGAAAAUGGAGAUUUAAAUUGGAUUAUACCAGACCUAUUUCUUGCCUUCUGUGGACCUUAUUCAAGAUCCAGACUUGAAAGUGGUUACCACCGACAUUCUCCGGAGACUUACAUUCCGUAUUUUAAGAGUCACAAUGUUACAACCAUUAUUCGUCUCAAUAAAAGGAUGUAUGAUGCUAAGCGCUUUACGGACGCUGGUUUCGAUCACCAUGAUCUUUUCUUUGCGGAUGGUAGCACCCCAACGGAUGCCAUCGUCAAAGAGUUCCUGGAUAUUUGUGAGAACGCUGAGGGUGCCAUUGCAGUACAUUGUAAAGCUGGCCUUGGUCGGACUGGCACCCUCAUUGCCUGCUACAUAAUGAAGCACUACCGAAUGACUGCAGCUGAGACCAUCGCAUGGGUCAGGAUCUGUAGGCCCGGGUCAGUGAUUGGGCCUCAGCAGCAGUUUCUAGUCAUGAAACAAGCUAGCCUCUGGCUGGAAGGUGACUGUUUUCGUCAGAAGUUAAGGGGGCAGGAGAAUGGACCACACAGAACUGCCUUCUCCAAACUCCUCUCAGGGGUUGAUGACAUUUCAAUAAAUGGAGUCGAAAAUGAAGACAAGCAGGAACCUGAACCGUUCAGUGAUGACGACGAAGUCACUGGAGUCACACAAGGUGAUAGACUUCGAGCCCUGAAAAGCAGAAGACAAUCAAAAACACAUGCUAUCCCCCUCACAUGCCCCCUAGCUGUGCUGGCCUCUGCGCUGGGUAGCGUUGCCAUGUGGUGGAUUAUGUGUGACUACAUCCUCCCCAUCCUGCUCUUCUGUCUCGAUGGUUUCAGAGCACGGUAGCCAUCAGGACCCUUGGGCAGAUAGCUGCUGUAGUAAUUCUUCAGUCCAGUGUUCAGAGCUGUAAAACAUCUGAACCUAACAUUUCUGGCAGUGCAGGCAUUACUAAAAGAACCACCAGAUCUGCUUCGAGGAAAAGCAGUUUUAAAAGUCCCUCCAUUUCAAGGACCAAAACAGUUUUGCGUUAAGUAAAAACUCGUGACCACAACUGAAGAAAGAUUCUAGGAACAGAAAACUCUAACAGGACUUAGGAGUUUAUUUGAGAACAAAACAAACUGCAGAAGCCUUAGUUGCUUCCACCUAAGAAAUUUACUCACUGAAGAAAACGUCUGCUGGAGUCGCAGUAGCGCUCGGAGUUUGGGUGUGAAAGAAGACUUGAAGGGCCCAACUUGCCAUUUUUGCAGAAUCGUCUCAAGCCAAAUGAGGAAAUGGUGUUGUAAUUUAGUCUCAGGUGUAAGUGCUGCAGCCCCCUGCCAUCUGGAGAGCUGAUGAGUUCAGUGGCCCAUGUGUCCCCACGGUGGCGGUUGUGCUCUCUGCUGGCAUUCAGAAGAGCCGAGGAUCUGAUGGAGGUUUCGUACGUAUUUAUUUUCUAUUCGCUCUGUGACCCUCUGUGGAAAUUUGUAAAGAUAAACCAGGAUUUACUGAAAUGGUACUUCCUGUCAUCGGACACUAUUGGGUUUCAUCUCUUUGCUCUUUGUGAUACUGUUGUCACGUUUACUCUGUGAAGUACCCAAGCUGCUUGUCUUCCACCAAAGAGUGCUUUAUGAACAUGAAUCUGUGAAGACCAUGUGAAAACACUGUUGCAUGCUGUAAUGCCAAAUGGUACUGUGCUCACCUAAGACUUGUCAGACAAUAUUCAUAGAAGCUUUAGAAGACUUCAGGGGAGAAACUGGUCUCAGAGUUGGAAGAUUCUUGCCAAGUCCUUCCUUUCUCAUCACUUAGGAACUACAAAAUAGCAAGGCUGUGCAUUACUGGGUUGCCAGUCACACAAAGUCUAGUCAGAUUGCCUGCUAUGCAUAUAGGGGGAGCUGCCCACUGUUGGUUUUUACCCUUUGAAACAGCAAUCCCAAAUAAUGGUGGCUUUAAAAACAAAAAUGUUAACACUUGUUUUAGAAUCCUUUUCUCUAAACACUGUGGAUUUUUUUUUUCUUUUGUGAUCAGUCUAGGGCCAUUCAUAUACUCUGAUUUCACCGACGAUUACUUGCUUUUGGAUUUUGGUUUGUAGUAAGAGUGAACUCACUGUUGCCUUUGGUUAGGGAAUCCAACUAGUAACUCUUUGCAGCGUGCCUUCUCCCCUUCCCCUUCCUGAAACUCAGCAGGGCUGUGACAUAAGCAAUCACAAAACAGUUUAUCUGCUGCUAAAAACAAAAACCAGGGCCCAUAGUUAAAGACUGUUUUGCAGAUCCCUUGUUCCUGCCAUCCAGGGCUUUCCUAGGAAGCCAUGUCCUGUUUACCAGGUCUGGCCUGUGCUUGUCUGGGAACUGGAGUGUGCCAGAGGGUAGGGCCUUCCCAUGACCAGAUGAAUGUAUCAAGACCCUGCUGACCAGGCUUCUUGCAUUUGGAGCAAAGUAAAGUCUGUUUACCCAAAAAGGAACUGGAAGACAGUGGUUCUCUGUUUCAGUGUUAUACCCUUUGGGUGAAGUGUGUCAGUGACUGGCUUGGAGAAGGGCAGCUCUGCCCAGCAGGCCAUGUGAGUCACCCUGAACCAGCAUUUAAACAUUAGGGGCUGAAUGUAGGUGUAAGAGUUGGGUAGGAGGAGGAACAUACCACUGUGCCGGGAGACAAAAUGUUCACACUGUGCCCAAGCAUAAAAUCCUGAUUCUUAGGGCAUCCUUUAGAGGCCCGCUGCUCCAUAGCUUAUGCAGGUGGGUGUGAAGACCACACUGCCUUCUGAGCCGUGUGUGGCUUGGCUUUCUCUUAGGUUGGAGCUAGGAAGCACAUCCCUGUUGUGGCCCCCUUCCCGGUCUGACCUAUCCCAGUGAGUGGGCUGUGUGGGGUCUUGGCCAAGAGUAAAAUCUUUGGCCCUUAGUGAUAACCACUGUGCUUUUUUUUUGUUUUAUAGAUUGCCUUGUGUUGGCUGCUGAAGUUUCCAGCUAGAAUUGUUGUUAUCACUGUGGCUCUUGUUAAAUAUCCCUGUAUCUAACAAGCUCGCGCAAGUUAGUCAUAGGAAACUUGUAAUUUGGUGAAGACCAUUCCAUUCCUUGGAGUAGGCAGAUAGUCAGGGACAGCACUUCGGAUGGGUUUCGGGGGUCUGACUAAUGGAAAGUCCUUCGUACUAUGAGUAAGAGCAGACUCCCCACCAGCUGAAACCACAGAACACUCCACGUCCUCUAGGAGUCUGACUCAGUUCUUGUUACACAUGACCCUGUUGCUGUUGGAUCUGAAACAGUGCCUGUCAGAUGGAGAGGUUCCUUUAACUUAAGACCUUAAAUAGUAUCGAAAGUCCACCCAAACCACUUCCAGUGGAAUUAAAAUUAGAAAUGAAUAUUUAUAGGGGCCGGGGAUUUAGUUCAGUUAUUCAGAUGAUCCCCGAUUCAAAAAAAAAAGGAAAUGAAUAUUUAUAGGUGCCCUUGAAACUUUCUGGGGAUUCAGAUCAUCAAGAGACAGAAAGUCCAAGGGAGGUGUGUGCACCUGUGAAGUGGGGUUCCUGGAAGUACAGAGGGUCCUCUGUCACAUGACAAACAGCAGGGAAGAGCAAUGGCAGGGAGCGAGCAGUGCCUCCUCCAGAGGUGACCUUACUCGGCCAGUGUGGCUGGACCCCAGCCACACGUGGCUCUGCCUAUGUCCCAGUUUUCCAGGUGUAAACUCGAUGCCCUGAAGCCAGCUCUCCUGCUCCAUACCCCACCAGGGAGUGGUGUCUGCUUUUGGCUUGGGCCCAAAUGCGUCUUAGCAGUGUCCCCAACUGUUCUCUAGAGGCCAUUGUGUUUGACUGGGUCUCCGGUUGUCUCGAGCCAGCUAUCCUGGGGCCACCCCUUCGUUUGAAUUGCCAAGCUUGACAAAUAACCAGUGCAGCCAUUGGGUGUUUGUUCUAAGGGUAGCUCGGCUGCCCUUCAUAAUAUUUUUAAAAGUUCUUACUGCACUCUGGAAAGGAGUGCUCAUCAGAAACAAUCUUAAUCCGUCUUUUAUUUCUUGAAUAGUUCUCUUCCACUGAAAUGCCCUGGUGAGGUUAGUUGCUGCUCUUCCUUCUCUCCUCAAUCUGAGUAUUUUCCAUGUUGCUAAGUGAAAAUACUAUAGAUGUGUUUAAAAGACUGGAUGAUUUGCCUAUACUGUGUGGGAAAUUACCUCCUUAAUUACCCAGUGGAACUGUCAGCAGACUUGUUCAUUGGAUUAGAGUACUGCAGUUUUAGAUUAAUAAUUUGCAGACUUUUAUCUAAUGUGCACUCAUGUACAGAUUAUUAAAAGUUUAAAAAUAACUGAGUAAUCAGUAUUUGAUCAGUUAUUGUAUUGAUUUUUUUAUUAAAAUGUAUAUUUCUAAUCAUAUUUUUUAAAGCUGAGAGAACUGGUUGAAUGUUUAUUUUCAUGAAAGUAUUUUUAAGAUAAAGCUUCAUAAUGGCCUGUAAACUUUGCAUAUAUAUGUAGUUUGAUACAUAUUGUUGCAUUUGAAAAUCUUGUGUAUUAUAACUGGUUUUAUACAAAACACUGAAUAGUGGCAGUUGUGUAAUUACAAUUGUAAUUAAAAGUAUUAACUAAGCA